GAUGAACGCUGGCGGCGUGCUUAACACAUGCAAGUCGAACGGAAAGGCCCAAGCUUGCUUGGGUACUCGAGUGGCGAACGGGUGAGUAACACGUGGGUGAUCUGCCCUGCACUUUGGGAUAAGCCUGGGAAACUGGGGCUAAUACCGGAUAGGACGAUGUGCUGGAUGCCAUUGUGGAAAGUUUUUUCGGUGUGGGGGGAGCUCGCGGCCUUUCAGCGUGUUGGUGGGGUGAUGGCCUACCAAGGCGUCGACGGGUAGCCGGCCUGUGAGGGUGUACGGGGACACUGUGGGUGUGAUACAGCGCAGAGUCCUACGGGGGGGAGAAGUGGGGAAUAUUGCGCAAUAGGGGCAAGACUGAUGCGGAGACGCCGCGUGGGCGAUGAGGGCCUUCGGGUGGUGAACUCCUCUCGCUAGGGACGAGGAGUGUUUGUGACGGUACCUGGAGAAGAAGCACCGGCUAACUACGUG
rnacentral:rRNA from 1 species